rnacentral:rRNA from 2 species
GGCCGGUAUGAAUGGCGUCACGAAGGCCCCACUGUCUUAAGAGGACUCUCCAUGAAAUUGAAUUCGUAGUGAAGAUGCUACGUCCAUAUUGUAAGACGAAAAGACCCCAUUGAGCUUUACUAAAGACUUGCAUGGCUCAAAAUAAUUUGACUUAAAUAAAAAGUUUAGAUAAUGUGGGACCCGUUUCCGGUUAAUGAAACACCACUCUUUUAUUUUAAGAGAGCUAACAUUACAAGGAUAGUGUAAGUUGGAUAGUUUGGUUGGGGCGACCACCUUUUAAAAGGUAACGAAGGUGAGCUUAAGGUCCGUAGUUAAUAGCCGGUGGCCUGACUGCAAGGGGGACGUCUCGAGCAGACACGUCCUUAGGGAUGUGGACUAUAGUGACCCGUCAUC